rnacentral:lncRNA from 1 species
UAUGAGAAAAAGUCCUAUUUAGAAGCAAAAAAGCCGGGAAAUAGCAAGGCAUUGUCCUAUUUGAUUUUCGAAAUUCACAUAGUUUGAUUCUUGUUUGAGUUUAUGGUCCGGAGAAUUACGGGUCUAUUCUUGAUUCCGCUCCUGAAUAUGGAUAGUCCUCCUUCCUUCCAUAUGGAUGGUCCUACUUCGGUUAAUUACGGAUGGUCCUACGGAUAAAUCCUCCGGACUACUUCCCUCCAUAUGGAUGGUCCUACGGAUAAAUCCUCCGGACUACGGAUAAAUCCUGCGGACUCCGGACUCCGGACUACUUCUGUUAAUUACGGAUGGUCCUACGGAUAAAUCACCUGGACCUUUCUUUGGCCCUGCGGACGUAGGACCCUGGACCUUUCUUUGAUGGACUUCUUUAUCCAUUAGUCGUUAGGCGCAAAGAAUUUGCGAAAGAAGGUGAAAAGAAUAUUUCAUGAGUGCAAGGCUGAAACAUUAGAUACCGGAAGCCUACGGCUGGGUCAAGACGAUCCAUAAGACAGGGAUAUUGUAAGGCGCAAUUCAAUAUGCGAGGUCAAAUCAAUCAUUUUCAAGGUAGAAAGAAAAGCCCACCUAGCGGUCUAGAGGUAGAGGAGCCGGUCUAGGCUGGAGCUCAUCAGUAGUAAGAGGAGAGUCAUCAGUCGAUGUUUCAGAAGUAGCGGAAGUAGCCCUUCCUUGGUCUUGCCGCAAACAAAUAAAGUGGGUUUUUUCCUAUCCCCUCUUUUUUUGAAGGAGGAGAAGGGCUUGAAAGAGUUCACGAGGGGAAGGAGUAGUGGCUCGACCUCUUCUCUAAUAGAAAGAAGUGGAAAAGCAGAAGAGGAAGUACGAAAAGAAUAAGCCGGAUAACCAGAUACCGGGGGAAGAGAAUGCGAGUAGGUUCUCAUCAGUCUUUUUAUUAUCCGUAGUUUUGAAGAUGAAAAGAAGAAAGAGUGCGGUUCGGGUAGGAGCUGCUUCUUAGUCAAGCAAUUCCAGGGGUUUCGUUUACUCUAUAGGCCUAGCUUACUAAUCUAACUUCAUUCCCGAGGGCUGGCCGAGAGAGAGCAUUAGGAAUGGGAGAUUCUACCGCGGGGGGCCGUAGCAUCACUCCUUACUCCUUAAGAGCCGCGUAGUGGGCAUCAUUUCUUAACAAGAAGAAAGCGCAAAGAAUAUUGCGGAAAAGGAGAGGUUCAAAGAAGAUUUCCGCUUGAUCCAUAAAAUAGAGAAAGGCUUUAGUUUACUUGAGGCAGAUUUGCUUAGCUCUUCGUAGGACCCCACGGAGCGGAGAGGGAUGAAAUAGCGAGACCAAUCCAUAAAAUCAGAGGAAGAGCGACCAAGAGGACGAAAUGCAGCUCGACUUCCAGAGGCAUGAGACCUUUUUCCUGUUAAGUCAAAGUCGGGUGCGGGUUCCUUUUCUAGCCAGCCCGCCAACGGAUGGAAGUUGAGUUGCUAUCAUGACUUCCUUCUUCUUCUUUCUGGGAGUCCUCCGGACCGGUUCUUUCCUCAAAUCAGAGUUCAAAGGGCAACUGCAUUCCUUUUCCUCGUUCACUCGGUCUAUAGAAAUAGUUCAUGGCUAGGGCUACUAGUCGUCAUACUUCUUCUUUGAGAAAGAGAUGGAACUCGUUCUCAUUGUUCAUAUUGCCGCUAUAUGAGUGAAUUCACGAGAUUCAUAAGAAAAUAAUCGCUUUGCAACACAACAAGAGCGACAGCCUCAACCGGAACAAGGGCCUCAAUGAACAAGGGGUUAGGGAUUGAAUCCGAUCUAUCCUAUCAGAAAGAAAAAUCAGAAUAAUUCAUCGCUUAGCUACUCCAAGACCAAGCACUUCCUCAACAGCUAAAUGCCACUGCUGGUCGAACUGCCGGUUCUGGGUCUCGUCUUUGGUACUGGGCGAGCAGAUAUAUACCUGGGAGGGAUUCGGCAGAAUCAAGCAGUUUGCCUUCGGCCGAUCCUGAAGAGGUAGGGAAUUUGGGGUAAGCAAAUGCAAACUCUUUCCAUCCGUGAAUGAAUAAAGCCGUCUUCAAUGGAUGUUUUUGUACGCUUGUACGCUUUGAUGCUACUGAAUUUAUAUCAAAGCACAAAACAGGGCUCAAAUAACCCUAAGAACUUGCCAAGUUCCCACUUCCAUCCUAGUUUGGAUUGGGUUUUAUGCUACUGAAUUUAUGCAAAAACAAGGUAUUUCGAUUGUUUUCUUGCAUCCGGCCUAUAGCUCAAAGUGACUAAAUUGGCAUCCUUCGAGUAUCGUUCUUAAUAGUUUCGUCAGUCAUAAAAAACCGUGGGAACUAAUGGCCCCACUCCGCGGUGAGAACUUGCGAUGCAAACCAUGGAAGAUGCAAAUCGGUAAAGGAAUGAACCCAUUGACUCAAGCGCAAGAACUGGUAGAGACAGCAGUCCCCAACCGUGGAGGAAGGAAGUCGAGACUCCUAUACAUGAAUUUCAGGCGGAAGACAGAGCGGUUCAAACUUGCAGAGAGAGCGCAGAGUUUUUGAAUAGUCGAGUAAAUCAUAAGGCUUCUUCCCUGUCCGACCCGGAUCCUUCUCAUUCCCUUGCUCGAGAGAGAGAUUCCGCCGAGACUUUUCUACUACUUCUCUGAUAAUGACCGGGCCGCUGCCUCUUGGGAGAGCUGCUUUAGCGUUGAGACCCCUUUUUGUACUUAUUCCUCGGGUAAGCCGUUGAGACCCAAGUCCUACGGGAUUCUGGAGACCGAAUUUCAUAGAAUUCCGCCGACCCCACUAAUUCAGAGACAGCUUCUGAUCCCUUCUAGCCGAUACCGAGACAGAGACUGAUUUCUUCUUGUCUAGCUGCCGAAAGAUAAUAGUAAUAGUACUUCUCCUCUUCCGUAGGUCUCUCCGCAAAUUCUUUGCUCCUCUGACGGGGACUGAUGCGGAUACAGUCUAUUCACACCGCGAGUAAACUCCAACUAAGCAGCAAAGACGACUUCUUUAGCGGUUUCAAGUCGUCCACUCAACAAGGGUCGAGCGAGUCCCACUAAGAUCCUGCCUUUAGGUAGAGCGGCUUCUUUCACUCCGUAAUUCAGCCGAUCUUGCUGUUUUGACCUCAUUUGGCUCUAGGAUAAAAUCACACAAUUACGGAGUUCAAGUCCCCGCUCGGCCUCUAACUGGUAUGAGAUAAUAUAAUACCGACUGAAGACCCUCUUCUGAUAGCUUGAGGUCUAACCUAUCCUUCUAGGUCUCGCUUACUCAUGCAUUCUCAUACCGGGAAAAAGACCAAGUCUUCGAGGUUCCUCCUCGGAACCAUCUCCUAACCCUCCCACGGGGCGGUCGAGCCUAAUCUAGCCUACGAUGGAUGAGGGGAGAUUUCCUCUUCUUCUCCGGAACUCCAAGAGAGUAGCUUCCCCGCCGCAAGAGAUAAUUCAAGGGAUAAGGUCCGAGCCUUUUCCAGGCUGAUUUUCGGGAAGAGAUUCUUUCUCCAACCUAGCCUUUAAAGUUCUAGGUCUUACCCCUACGUGGGCCUUGUUCAUAGAAUGAAAUACCGGAGAACUCCUAAUCCACUCUACUAGGUCACAUCCAUCCGCGCCCUUGGAUCUGAGAACUUCUCCUUCAAGUUACCUUGCCGACUCCCCUACUUCAGGUUCAGGGGACCCUACUCUGACUUCUUAGUUCUCGCUUGAAGUGAGCACUUCUUCUUUCUCUGGAAGUUACCUGUGGCCGGUCAAUCCGGUAUCCCUUUCAGUUAGUCAUUCAAGGGGAAGGGAUUUCACUCUACGGGAUAGACUUCUUCGUCUAACUCUAGCUGAGGCUUCUCGGGCGGGCUAAGAGGGAAUUCCGCUUCCUUUUCUUUCUUCUUCCCUUGCCGGUGCUUUCGGAAACUUAGAAUAAGCGAAUGAAAAAAGGUCGGCGACCACCCUACUAAUUCUGGUCUCGGCCUCGGGAUAGACUUCCAAAGAGAAAGAGAGAGGGAUGAAAGAGGUUAUGCACGGCGUCCAAUGGGAUAGUUUGACGGGAGAUCCUAUGAGACCCUUCCAGGUGGGGAUCCCUCUGCCUCUGAUGAAUCAGACUCCGCCUGCUCCGGUACCGCACCCCUCCUGCUCCGUGGGCAUUGACUCUUAGGCGAAGGACUGAUUUAUCAAGCUUAGUCUCCUUUCGUACUCUGACUCUUGGGAGAGCUUAUUUACGGGAGGAGAUCUGUAACUCCAACAAGUCAAUGAUUAGGGGAGCUUUCUCUUUCUUCUGAAACCCCUUGUUCAUUCAGGCUAGGCUUUCUCUUCAAAGUCAGAGCUAUCCAAAAUCUCAUAUUUCAUUGACCCGCAAAGAAUAUUGCGAGAAGAAGGCUGAAUUCCAUUUUCGAGUAGCCUUAGGCUCAAUGCAAUUUGAGUUGCGAAAGCUGCUCAAACUUGUGGUAAAGGGUAGAUUCUACGCAUAUUGAAUUGCGCCUCAUCUAGAGCUUUUUUUUGUUUUCGGAGCUUCUUUACCGAAGGCGUCACAGGUCCGAAGGACUAUCCAUAUUAACCUGCGACUGAGGACCUGUCUCGCAAUAUCCUUUGCUUUGCGCCUUAUCCAUAGAUCUUUGCGCCUCUCGCUUCGCGCCUAGAGAAAGAAACUGCCGAUUUCCUUCCGACCACGCGUCCUCCUUCUGACCGUCAAAGCUUAGUGAUUUACUUAGGCCUUUCCCGCUACGUGGGCCGAUGCGCUGGUGGGGACGGACGUCUAUGAUCAUCCUCUUCUUUAUUGCUUUCUGCCUCAGAAAGGUGCGGAUUCAGUCCCUUGACCCGAGUCCGAGUCGAGCAGCCGAUCCAUGGUUGGGGAGUUUGAAUGCUGGGGCACGUGCAAUCACUUUUCUUUCAACUUAAGGAAAUUGUCCUCUUCUCGAGCCUAACCUAGGAGUGGGGCCUAAUUAGUCGAUUUGACUCUUGGGAUGAUUCCACGUGAUCGGAUAGUCAAAUACCGGGUUUGAAUGUGAUUCGAAUGAAAGCAAGGGUCGAAGCGCGAACAAUGAUAGAUAGGAGGAUCGCUUCGGGUUAGGGGGCAGGGAGAGAGGGUAUUUGCCCGAUAUGAGCAAGACCUAUUAAGGAAUCCGCAUAUCUUAAGCAAAUGCUCACAUCGAUUUAUGCGAGGCGCGAAGCCUUCACCUUUUCCCAGCUUCGAUUCCUUACCUCGCCUAUUUUUUGGAAUCUUUGCUCCGAAGGCUCUCAGAAAUUGAGUUCUGUCCGUAGGCUGAUUAUUUCAGACUGAAGCUCUCAGAAAUUGAGUUGCCGUAGUAGGGUUGAAGACUCCGUCCUUUCUAUCUCCUUCUACUCAGUCGACUGAAUAUUCAUUGACCCUCUUAUCGACUACCUCUCUCCUCUCACAAGAUCCAGUCAAUUAAUUACAUACAAGAGACCGCGUAGUGGGCCAUAGAUCUUUGCACCGCUCCGUGGUCCUCCGGACUAUCCAUUAGAUGGAAGGUGGGCUUUCUUCUUCUUCCGAAAGAUUAUUUAAAAGGAUAUGAAGAGUCAGUGGGAGGGGGCUCUUUGCACUCCGAAAAAGUGCUCGUAAAAGAUAUUCAAUAUAAGUAGUAAUUCAAGCUCUUCUUCUUUAUUAAUUCAAGAUUCUUUCUCUGCUCAAGUAAGGAAAAGAUAUUGAUUACUAUCUCUCUAUCUCUCUUAUAAUAGAGACCGAAAGAAAGGGGAAAGAGAUGGUACCCGCCAUUUUCCCGUGGGUAUAUUGAAUGAAAGUGCCUCUCGUUAUAAAGCUAGAGGGUCGCGCGGUCCAUUCCCAUCAUGGGAGUCACGGCAGUCUUGGGUCACCUUUCGGCUGGGGGUCCAUUUGUGCCUAUCUGAGGCGGAAAAAUCCCUGUGGGGGAAAUUUGCACUCGGUGAAGGAAGGCCGGCUGCACUCGUGAAAAAAAGGAGUCUUUACAGGGCGGCCCCACAGCGGCCUACUUAUCAAAAGGCUCCGAGAGCACGAUGAGUGGCUCGAUGUCGGAUCCCAUGCUUCAAAGUGCAGUAGUGCUAAGGUAUCCUAGGAUGCGGCAAAUAUGGGAAGAUUCCCACUGCGAGAGAAAAGGCUUGGGGAGCGAAUCGCAGGCUAUCUUUGGUGGCCGGACCCCUAUAAAUGUUCGGAACUUGGGGAUAAGUAUUUCCUCCUCGAUUGGGUGGCCUUAGUCUGCCACAGGCCGGUCAAGACUAGGCAACUCUUGAUCCCAAGUACUCAAAAAACCCUCUUCCUUACUAGACUUUCAAGGGUACUACAAGUAUACAGGGGAAGGAGCAAUAUUCCGGAUGACUGAUAUGAUCUAUGGGCGAUAGAUGAAUUUAGAGAGUCAGACGGCGAAUGGGGUUCUCAGCCUGGAGGAUAUUUGGCCCAAAUGUCAAAUUUUCUCUUUUCUCAGAAAGGAAAUGUGCCUAUUAUCUUUUUUGGGAAUGAGCUCCCACGGAUCUUUAAGGAAAGGGGACCGUAGGCCGAAAGAAGAAUCCCCUUACAUUUUCUAUCGCAAUCUUCGAAGCUCGGCUGAUCUCGACGUUUUGGAAGUGUUUAGAAAUCCGGGCGGGCACCCAGGACCAGAUUGGCAACCCCCCCAUUUUAUACAUUACGCCUUCAUUCAUUCUUUAGAAAGAAAAAAAAGACAUAGUCAUAGAGCGGUAUAUCUCUGUCGGGCUUCUACAAAUAUUGGGGAAGGAAUACCUUCUUUUCUUCCAUUAGGAAAGAGAAGAAAGACAAGAAGACGGACAAACUUAUAUGGCACAUUAACCAGAAUAAGUUGGGAGAAGGCGGGAUGAACCUUCUCAACUUUGCCUUAGUCCCUAUCCCGGGUAAAGAAAGAGGUGGAAUAAUCUGAUUUCAAAAAAGAAGGUAAUCUUCAUAGACACUGGAACCCAGUGCAGCCUUGACUACAUACAAUGGCCAUAUUUCAAGGUACGGGCUUAGGGGCGAUUCCUGAAAUUUCAAUGUCAAAAUCCUAUAAAUGAGAUAUUUACGAUGAGGAGAACAGUCCCCGCCCUACCUACUAAAAGGGUUUAGAGAACCUUUCAUUUCAAGUCAGAAGAGCGAUCAGGGAGACCACGAUGAAGGAAGCCACAUACUUGUCGGGGGUCCAGCACUGGACUCAACUUUCUUUUCUUUUUGCUUCAGAGCAUUUGACGUCAGGUUGCUCGGCUCUCUACAAGAGAGCCUUUCCUCAGAUUCAAAGAUUUAGAAGAGAAAGAGCGGAUAAAAGGGGGUGGGGCUGAAGUUUCUUUAGUUGUGGAAGCCUAAGCCAGAAUGAAUUACAUAAGAAAGGAAGACAGCCUCAUCGGUCGUAUUCAUACCGAGUCAAUAAGCUUUACGCUCAAUGAGAUCUCUUCAUCUUCGGUUUGUUCCGGGAUCUCUAAAAAAGAGAGUAGGCUUCUGCCUCUGGGCGAAAUUUUGGAGUCUCGUCUUUGGUAAAAAGCUUAGUGAAACUUCCGACUCUCGAUCUCCCGUCCACGGAAAAUCUGUGACUGACUCAACUCUGAAUCACUAUCCUUCAUUCUUAGGAGUGCAAUGAACCCACUCCGCGGUUUCCCAGUGGGUCCUACUUCGGUGUCCUACUUCCGGAUGGUCCUACUUCGGUUAAUUACGGAUGGUCCUACUUCGGUUAAUUACGGAUGGUCCUACUUCCAUAUGGAUAGUCCUACUUCCUUCCAUAUGGAUGGUCCUACGGAUAAAUCCUCCGGACGUAGGAUAAAUCCUGCGGACUCCGGACCCUGGACCUUUCUUUCUUUAAUGGAUAGUCCUACGGAUAAAUCCUCCGGACUCCGGACGUAGGAUAAAUCCUGCGGACUGCGGACCUGUCCAAAACUUUCUUUCUUGACCUCGCAAUAUUCUUUGCACCUCCGGCUCAAUUUCAUCUCUAAGCUCCGUGGGAACUGAAAAAUGGAGUUGGCUUUUAUGUGAUCAUGCAUUUUCUGAAUGAAGGAUUGAUAGUUUUUUCUUGGUUUAGGUGACUCAAUUGAAUCUCGCCUUCUACGCCGGCUGGGUCGGAAUCUGAAUAUGUGGAUGAAAGACGGAGGAUCGGAAGACUCGCUGCCUUUCUGCCUUCUUGCCUCAUCCCGGGUAGGGCAUUUCUAGGGGGCAAGCUGAAAAUUGAGAUGUGGAUCCUUCAAAGUAGGCGUUAAAGAUGAACCGACGCAAUAUUCUUUGCGCCAUUAAUUCCAUUGAAUUUGAACUAAAUAAGAAGAACGAAUCUUGCAUUGAGCCUUUGUUUUUGCUGCAACAUCAACGGAUUCAGCCACUUUCAACCUCAAAAUAAUACUGAAAGAGCCAAGUCUGAAGUACGGAUUUACGAAGGAAGGGGAUUAGAUUGUUCUAACCGCCUGUCUGACGCUUGAAAUUUCUCUCUUUUUUUGGGGGUACCCGAAAGGCGUCCUCAGUCAGAUGCCACUUUUCUUGAAUAAAGCGAUAGCCGAGAGAGUCGACUUCCCUCGUUCUAAGAUUACUUAAGGCUUCCUUCAAUCCAUUCGAUAGCCUCUUGUCUUCUUACCGCUACGUGGGGAAAGCGAAAGACAUAGGCUUGAAAGAAAGAAAAGUUCAGACCUUUCCAUGGCAGUCUUAAAUAGAGCAGAGUCAGAGGCAAAAGGAUUUGACGCAAGUUGAAGCUAAGGAUCGACAGAAAGCUAGGUGUCCUUCUCCCUUCUUAUCCUAAGGAACUCGCAGAGUUAACGAGAUCUCGCAGAUAUAUAGCCAAGUGAUUCACCACGCCAAUAGGUGGGUUUUGAUAGUCAGUCAGAAAUUCAGAUAGAAGGCACCGCUGGAACUUGUGCAUGCUUAUACUAGGGAAAGAGCUCUUCAAUUCAUUCCCCGCUCUCCUGAGGUCGUGACAAGGUUCAAAGAAGAUUGAAGUAGUGGGCUGCGCUUUGGGGCUUUUGGCUAUGCGUAGAUAUUCUGGUAAGACCAAUAUAGUACGGAAGCAUCUCGGAUGAAGAAGAGGUGCAAAGAAUAUUGCGUUGAGGACUCGGAAUGAAUAAAAAGAAUGCCUGUUGAAUGAUCAGUUUCUCUUGAAUAAGCUAGAUCUCUUGUUCCAUUUCAUCAACAAUCGUAAGCGAAAAGAUUAUAUAGAUAGGAGUAGGAGCAAUCUGGGGAUUCAAAGAGGCAGGUCGCAGAAGAGAAGAAAGCCUAGGGCUCUCAAAUAGAGAAAAAAGGUAAAUAGAGGCCAAUAGGCUUACGACGACGCGACUUCUCUUUCUGAAACUUGAUGGAAGGACUGACGGCUUUCCUCUUACUAUUACGUCUUAGGCCCACGUAGCGGUAGGCUUUCGCAGCUGCCGAAACCUCUAAGUCUGAUCCUUACCCCUUUGACUUCUGAAUUACCGCGAGUACUCUUUAUGGAGUCUUUUCCCUUUUCUUGGUCGUAUGAGUCCUUCGUCUUGGAUCUGGCGGGAAAGCCUCAUUCAUUGAUCUAUUUCUUAGAAAGAAUAGCUUAUUCUUAAGAAAGCGGACGGACUCAGCCUUUUCUUCUCAUGCCCUUCUUUAUGCCUCUUCCUUCGAUCUCCGGCGUGCGGGUCGAGCGCGUCAAUAUUCUUUUCACCUCUUUUCCUUGCGAGUUUGUCCAGUUAGUUCGGGAACCUAGGCUUUCUUCUUCUUUCCCAUGAGAACUUCCUAGUGAAUCUCGUAUUAAUCAGCAUCAAAAUCUCAAUCGCAUAUUUCAUUCCGCCUCCAACACGCUCUUUGCUUUGAGCAAUAUGCGCCUCCGGCUUAAAUAAGCGAGUCAUGAUUCCGCUAAAGUUUCAGACCUUAGGCUCCAUAAGACAGGUCCGAAGGACUAUCCAUAUUAACCCAGAUUUCGAGACCGCUCCUCUUGAGUCUGAUUCCAAUAAUAUCCGUCAUGAUCCCUUAUAAAGCAGUUUCAGACCUUAGGAGCUAUUCCAAAAACGAGCUCUUAAAUCCCCACGGUGCGGUAGUUUAAUCUUUCAGCCUUGCACUCCUUUCUUCUUUUCCGAAAUAUUCUUUCGCCUGAAUCCAUAAAUAAAUAGAUAGAAGUCGGGGCUCCAAUCAAGGCGGUCGAUGAUUCGGCGUAAAAGUUGUUUUCAUCGCUUUAAGAACAAAAAAGACAGUCUUAGCCGCCAUUCGAAGGAUCGGAUAGAAGCUGCUCUCUUUCUUUAUUCCUUGUUCAUAUCCUCUUAUUAGUUACGGGUUACGAAGGAGAGGGGUUUUAGGGGUUUAUGGACUUGACACAGAGUCAUCCCUCUCUCUAAGUAUUAAUUAGUCUAAGUCGGUGCUAUCCCAUUCAGAUAGGGAUCCCUUUAUCCCCAGACAAAUCUGGCUCGGAACAGUAAUAAGUAUCAGUAGCCACAGAAAAGGGGGAAGACUUGGAACUUCAAGCAGAAUCCGGAAAAAUAAUGGAUUUCUAGUCCUUCGCCUAAUGAAUAUGGGGAUCUGGACGGCGGAGCAAAGAAUAUUGCCUUCCACUUUGAGAGGUUAUGCUAGAUUAUAUAUAUAGUAAAUAGGUGGUUAGAGAAUGAGUCAGACGAAGGAUCCACGUAGAAGCCGCUAUCCCGACGGUCUGUCUUGAUCAGGUGCGGAUGCUACGGAGCGGCCAAAGACUGGAAAGGAGAGGGGCGAAGCGAAUGGAAGAUCAAUCCUCGGUUCCUAGAAAAAGAAAGCGGAAAACGCAAGUCAAAUUCUCUAAUGGAUAGGCCUUCUCGCAAUAUUCUGCGCAUCUGCGUCCUUCUUUUUCGCAUAUUUCAUUGCGCUGUCAAAAUGAAAUUAAUGGAAUAACUUCGCCUAAACUUGAAAGAAAGGUCCAAAGCCCUUCGUUAAUUACGGAUAGUCCUACUUCCUUCCCUCCAUAUGGAUGGUCCUACUUCGGUUAAUUACGGAUGGUCCUACGGAUAAAUCCUCCGGACUACUUCCCUCCAUAUGGAUGGUCCUACGGAUAAAUCCUCCGGACUACGGAUAAAUCCUGCGGACGUAGGACUCCGGACUACUUCCAUAUGGAUAGUCCUACGGAUAAAUCCUGCGGACGUAGGACUCCGGACUGGAUCUUGUUGGGCGAAACUGCUCAAGAAAUCAGAAUCUAUGAACAUAGGCUUUCUCUUUUCAUUGACUUAUGUCUCUUCCGAGACUGAGUCCUCUGACUUUCUCGCUGCCGAUGCAUGCCUCUUCUCUUGUCGACUUUGUCCUGAUUGUAGUACGCGCCUUCUCCUUGGAUACCGCCGCUACGUGGGCCUCAUCCUAUGGUUCGUGGGAUAGGGCUUUCAGUCUUCCUUGUCGAGCCGGUUCGGCGCCGCAGCACCUUUGCAGUGGAGAAAGAUUACUCUGGAUGUGCCAAUAAGACUAACGGAUGUUUCCUAGCCCGAGUCAACGUCAAUAUUCUUUUCACCUUCCUCAACUUCCCUUUCCGCCUCCCGUUCUUUCAGUUACGGGGAUUCAGGUCAAUGCCUUUCUAAAUCUACAUUAUUCAAAAAUCAUAAAUAGCUUGACUCAACGACAAGAACUGAAAGAGCUACCGGAACUGCUGCCCUUGAACCUCGAGCCUUUGCCUAGGCCUCUGCUGAACUCUACUUCUUGACUUUUGACUCAUACGAGUGGAUACUUCCCUCUCUACACAAAAGUCCUCAAUUGAAUCGAGACCGAAAGGGUUGAGUUUGGGGGUGGGGAUGAUUUGAGAAGAAAACUUCCGACUCCCUUCCACCUACCUUCCCACUUGCGAUGAAAAGAAGGAGGAAAAGGAAAGCAAGGAUGCUCGAGGGCCUAAUUCUUCUUCUUUUUUCUCUGAUCCAGAGCAGUGGUCUUAAGCAUAUAAGUCCAAAAAGUGCAUCUCAUGCGAAUAAAGAAAUAAACGAAAGAAAUGGAAGAAGGCCUUGGUGAUAAAGCUAUCUCGUCCCUCACCGCUACGUGGGCUCCAAGGUUUAUCCUUUUCUUAAGGAAUAUAUUCUCAUAAAAGAAGGGUGCGUCGGUUUAGCUUUAGCUAGGAGUCCCGCCUAGCUUCCGAACUUGCCAAGAAUUCGCGAUUGAAUAUUUUUUUCCGCUUCCUCGACGGGACCAUCGGGUCUCCAAACUGAGAACGACCAGCUUACUUGAAUGAAGAAAGAGAUAUCUCUCUUGUCCCACUUGGAUUUUUUUUCACAGCUAGAUAGAGUGAUAUUCACAGGAAAAGAUGUCUAAGCUCUAUUUGGACCGGGUCUCACCUCUGUCCAGGGCUUGACUAAAGAGUACUGGAUAUAUAGAUCUACUUUUAGUUGUGAAAGAAAGGAAUAAUAGGAUCCAUUCUCUAUUAAUAUCCAUUUAGUUGGUUCAACUCCUGCUUCAACUGCUAUUGACCCAUUCCCAAGUCAAAUAUGGUCAAAAAUGCUAAUCUGCCCAAUUAUUUGAGAUAUGCUUAAGAUAUCCGAAAUUCUUCAGUGCUAGCCCUGCUCAAUUCCUAAGAACCGAAAGUUUGCGGGAGGUGGCUCAGCCCGCUCCUUCUUCCUCACCGCUACGUGGGCGGGACCGGCCAUCACAGGGGACGUGAGAGAGGAAAGAAGAAGGCAAUAAGCGAUCUUUAGUUCUUUUUUUCAUGGUAUCUGCCUAGGGAUCAAGGAGGCUUGACUUGGCUAGGGACGAGAAUAAUAUAAGACCUCUGCGCUGCCCUUUCCGGCCAAUGCCCAAUACCGAGUUAUGGCUUUGCCUUGAGGUAUCCUCCCAUCUCCGUAUCGUGAGAAUGUCCUUGAGACUGUGGAAAGCAAUUCCUUCCUUUUUUUUCUCUUUAGCUUUUUUCAAUAUUCUUUGAACCUAGGUCACUUUAGUAGUUCUAGCUGCUGACCCGAAGGACAGCUUUCCACAAUUCCUUAUUUAUACUUCGUUGACCGGUCCGCUCCGUCGCAAGUCAAAUUCUCUAAUGGAUAGGCCUUGCUCCUUCGAAUAUGAAUUCAGCUUUUUUAAGCGGCUGCAAUCAGUCUGAAUUUCUGAUCAUGAAUCUUCAACCUUGUUUUUGAAUUGAGCUUUUUUAAGCGGCUGCAAUAUAGCUUUCAUAAGCCUAGGACGCAAUAUUCUUUGCGCCUCCGGACGGGUUCCCCGCAUAUUUCAUUCCGCCUUCGGACCUGUCCUCCGGACUAUCCAUAUUUAUUAACCCGAGCCUUUUUCCAUUGAAUUUCUGAUUUCAGAGGACUUCUAAUCAAUGAACAUCCAUAAAUAAAUAGGGGUCUUUCAAUUGCUUUUUGAUUCUGUGCGCGCUAAGAUUUGAGUCUUGAAAGUGGUGAAGCGAGGGACUGGUCUUUGCCCCUAAUCAAGGAUUUCUUCCUCUUCUUGACUGCCUUUGCCACAUUCUCCUACUCAGGUCUAGCUCUCACCUGUGCAAGCAUCAGAAGAUGGAUUCUCGCGAUCUACAGAGUCCUUAUGGCUUGCUUUUUUAGUCGGCCUCAGUAGCUUAAUAUGGAUAGGUUGAAUAGUCCGGAGAAAUAAUAGUACUUUGUCUUUGUCUUAAUCUGUGGAUAAAAAAGGUCAUCUGGACCUUUGUUUUUGGGUGAAAGAAGGUGAUGAGGACCUCGCAUCUACGUGCAAAAAGUUGGAGAACUAAGAAAGACCUUACUCUGCAUCAGUCUCAUGAUCCUCCCUGGGCGCCAGGCUGGGACCGCACAUGAAAGACGAGAGGAGAUAUUCUAGGCGGACGAAAGAGUAUUUUACUAUCAAAUUGGAUAUGUCAGCAAGAGAAGAAGAAGAAAACUGGACAUGGCUUUGGCUGCUUAAACUGCCCUUGGGAUAGAAGAGAAAUAUGAACUCUCCACUCCGCCUCUUCUUUCGGAGAAAAAAUGGCAUUAGAAGUAGGAGUCAAUUUGGAUAUGAACCACUUCCUUUCCUAUCUUAUUAUUCAUUUGAAAAAAGGUAAGGUUCAAUUUCCCUAUUGUAUUAGGUCUGUGAUCAGUCUUCGAUUCCUUAGAAGCCUUACAAGAGGUUCCAGGCUUUUUUUGAUUUUCCUUUUACAUAGGUCGCAUUCAAAAUUACCUUCCAUUAUUCCUCUCGCUACGAUGAGGGUAUUGAAAUAAGAAGAACCCUGGCGGUACCAGCUAAGACUUUCCGGGAUAGUAUUAGGAUCCAUGAAAGAUCCUUUUUUCCUAGCCUUCCGGCCCCUUUCCUUACUUCUUAGGAGAAUUGAUAGAAUAGAGGCUGGAUCAAUAGCAAUAGUAAGAUACUACAGAUCCCUUGCCCUUUCAGGUGGUGAGGAAGGUAGAUGCUUUGAAUAAAAUGCAAACUGAGAAGACUGCUAGUUAGGUUGCAAGGAAGAAUUUCUCCUGAGAAUCUUAAGUGAAUCUAAGAAAAAAGAUUUGUGCUUUUCUAGUCUUAGAAAGUCUCCUAUCUGUGGCUAGAAGAGAGUUGCCGAUCGACCAAAGAAGAAAAUUCGGGAAAAUCUCCUAUUAAUUCCACUAAGAGGGAUUUCUUCAUAUAGUCAGAAUCGUACCAGGGAAGACUAAGAUCUUUCUUUCAUAGAAGGACUUGCCAGUAGGUGCGGGGUCGGAUAAGCCGGUCAAGGUCUGGCAGAGUAGAAAGAAAGGGAUGGAAGGUGAGACUUUCCAUUUUCUAUCCUCACCCUCACGGAGAGGCAUAAGAUCCGAAUUCGAGAGAAGACUUCCAGUGCGAAUUCUCUUUUUCACUAGGUUUUGAUUAUCUUUCAUUCUCACUUCAAACUACUAAGAAAAAAUGGGGAAAGGAUUAAGAUGGGAUACGGACCCAAAAAGAAAGAAUAGGCGCUGAUCCAGAGAACAAAGAGAGAAGAAGUGAUUUUCCUUUCCGGGAUUCUCCCUGAAUCCACCCUGUAUUUUUCCUUGGGUCAUCGUCCUUUCCGUAGGUUGAAGGUAAGAUGGAUGACGAGGAUAAGUUCUUUAUGAUCUUUUUUCAUUCUUUCUACUUCCAGUAAUAGGCAUCGGAAUGAGACCGGGGCCGAGUGGGGGAUUGAGCUAAAGCGAGAGGCGCAAUGAAAUAUGCGUGACACGUAGGGGUCGAUUGAGACGGAGUCAAGAUUGCUACUUAUUCAUUCUAAUAUGCCGAGUCAAAACGACUUAUAUAAAAGAAUAUAUAUUUUCAGGUUUUUUAUUCGGGUCUAUAACUAGAAUCAUCAUACAAUGAUCGGCUUUCCAAAGGUCAUGAGCGAAGACAGAAGAAGCUAUCCAAUGGGCAGGUAGAGUAUGAAUUCCCAGUCUAGAUUUGAGAGAUUUAGAAUCUUUCUAAUAUAAAGAGAAUGCAGUAGACGAAGGAGGGUGAGAGAAAGAGCGCAUGAUCGGGUCUAUAUAGCGGAAUCGAGGAUGAACUUUGCCGAGGGGAUCAAAAAGGUAAUGAUAAAGGUGGCCUCACCCGUAUUCAGUUUAGUUCUUUCGACAGGUAAGCGAUUGGAGCAUACUUUCCACGGAAAGGGAAGGAUAAGAAAUUCGGAACCGGAUAGUCAAUCCGAGGUCAGGUCCAGUUGAGUGGCGAGUACUCCUUGCUCUUCCGGUUGCAGGAGAAGUUUCCUCUUGCAGCUUCCUUCAUCCGCAUCAUCCGUCGGCCUCAUUCAAGAUUUAUGGAUUUCUUGAGGAUCUACCACUUGAAAGGAUAUUCCAUCCGGCAUGGAACCAUCUGUCGGCAGCUAUAACUAAUAGGAGAAGGGGGAAGGGGUACAGGCAAAAGUCUUCGGAAAGCAUAGAGAAGAGGAGAAAGAAGAAAGUGAUCAGGAUGAAAGCAAGAGCUUACGAUUGAUCUUAGGCUAGUCCCAUUCUACUCACUCAGGAAAAUAGAAGCGCUCGGCUAUGGGAAUAGUUCUAGGGCUAGCCCUAUCAUUUGACGAGAUGAUAAUAAUAUCCCUUCUGACCUAAAUCAAAAAAGACUAUUCAUAAAGCCAAGGUUCAAAGAAUUUGAGUAAUUAUUCAUGAAAUUCCUUUGACUUCUCCUUCUCUUUCGAUAAGAAAGCUCUUCUAUCAUUUCUUUGGGCUGAUCGGUAAGUUGAUCUCUUUCAUUCGGACAAAACCCCCCGAGACUGAUCAUUCCCCGAGGUCCUCGAACCAGGCGCUUACUCUCAUUCUAAGAGUGAAGAGAAGAAUUCCCAUUCCUCUCUACCCCCACUACGCGGUCUUCAGUCGACCCCACUACGCGCUUCUUCCAUCCCUUGCUGGAUAAGAAGUGGUCUUUUCUUGCUUGAGUAUGCAUGCCUCAUCCUAAGACCAAGGCCAAUAGCCCCAGCGGUUUCACUCAAUUCCAUGCCAUGGGAAAUACGUUCAUUAGAAUAAAAGGAUAAAGAGUUCAAUGCCAGCGCAAAUCCUGAUAUUCAAGACCAACCUCGACCUCGUAACCGCUCCCUCGGUCUCACCCCUGCUACAACUUUUCUAUCUUGCGCUUGCACGGAGCGAAAUCCAGUAAUAAGAAGAGCAGAAAUAGACCUCAUAUAUAAGUCAUUCUUCUCUCAGAGUACAGUAAUUAGUUCAUUAUUAACCUGGUGCAAAAAAAAGAUAUUAUAAUAAGAAAGAAGAAGACCUCAAAUUCUUUGAGCCGUCCGGAGGACCAAAAAGAAAGGUCCAGGGUCCAGAGUCCGGAGUCCGCAGUCCGCAGGGCCAAAGAAAGGUCCAGGGUCCUACGUCCGGAGGAUUCUUAUCCGUAGGACUAUCCAUAUGGAAGUAGGACUAUCCAUUAUCUGUAGGACUAUCCGUAAUUAACCGAACUUUGCACUGGGGCAUAAUCUUUCGUUUUAUUAUUAUUAGCUUAUCAAAAAGAAAUGACUAGUUACCGAAAGGACUGAUAGUGCAUCCGCACAAAAUUAGGAAAGGGGUGCUCUUUGAACCUCGCAAUAUUCUUUGCACCUGGUGUAGCUGACUCUGGAUCUGAGACGGCUACUGCCCUCGUCCUGGGACGGACUCGGACUGAUGGGACUGAUUCCCGGAGGCGUCUUGAAACUCAUUCUACGUCAGCGACUGUCUUCUUCAACCUCGGCUGCGACAGACCCAGGCCGAUCCAUCCGACCCAAAGCCUAGAUCUACCGACUCCUAUCCCUCUCCGGGACCGCAGUCCACUAUUGGGCGUCCGGUUUGAGAUAAAGAAGAAGAAGACAGAGAUUCUUGUCCACUCCCGAACUAAAGAGAGAAUUGAGUGAGAUUAAAUACGAUAUUAGGAAAUGGGGAUUCUAUCUGAUAAUUGGGAUUCUUUGUCUAUUAUUUUGGUUCUUGUCCGAUCCGCUGCUAAGACUCGAGCGAAGCAAGUCCUUCGCCUCAAUGAACUUUCCGAAGUCAGGACCGUAGGCAAGGGGCGAAGCCAAGCGAAAGGAGCGCAAACUGGAGAUACUACAUCUCGUCCUACGCACGGGAGCGCAAAGCGAGGAGGACUCUUCAGUCUAAACCUACUAUUUGGAAGAAAGCCUCAACCCCCACUACGCUACAGAGAAGACGCCAAAAAUCAAGGUCCAGGCGCCAUAAGACAGGGAUAUUCUUGUCUCCUUCUAAGAAAAAUCAGUCCAUCAUAUCUUCUUAUUUCUUUCUAGGCUUCGCCAUUCUCGUAUUAGCAGCUCGCUCUUAUUCAUUCAAUAGUUGUCCUUCUCUGAUUAUUAGUUUCGCAGGUGCAACUCAACCGGAGAAAUCAGACUCAAGAUCAAUAAGAACAUAAGCUCAGCAGCUCUGAUUAUUUUAUUAGUUUCGCAGGUCUUCUUAUUAUAUUAGAGAAAGAGGGGCGAAGCGAAUAGUCGUGCAAGAGAAGAGAUCUCAUUUUUUCGACUGAAGGAAGGUUCGGAGACGUAGUCGAUGAGAUAGAAAAGGGGAAAAGUGCAUUAUCAUAAGGAAAACAGAGUUUACGAAGUUGAGCGAGAGGGACUAGGCACAAACUAUCUAUAUAGAGCCGUUAUGAGUUAGAUUGCUUUCACUCGAUAAUGUGUACAAAAGCAUAAAGAAUCUAUUUCAUGAGUUUGAGCUAUAGGGGAAGCUAUAAAUAGAAAACAAGAGGACUCAAGGCUCGACCAGUUCCGGUAGCUCGCUCUUCUUCUUUCAGUAGCCGUCAGUUGUUCCAGCUGAGUCAAGCUAUCUUACUUGCUCUUUUUAGUGAAAUCGGU